rnacentral:rRNA from 1 species
UACGGAGGAUCCGAGCGUUAUCCGGAUUUAUUGGGUUUAAAGGGUGCGCAGGCGGGAGAUUAAGUCGGCGGUGAAAUUUUGCAGCUCAACUGUAAAAGUGCCUUCGAAACUGGUUUCCUUGAGUGUAGAUGAAGUAGGCGGAAUUUGUGGUGUAGCGGUGAAAUGCAUAGAUAUCACGAGGAACUCAGAUUGCGCAGGCAGCUUACUAAACUACUACUGACGCUCAGGCACGAAGGCGUGGGGAUCAAACAGGAUUAGAUACCCCGGUA